rnacentral:lncRNA from 1 species
AGUUAGCUAUUUAAGCCUGGUUUAAGCUGCUUAUCUUAGGUGAACUAACUGCUUAAGCCCCAGCUUGGGUGAAUGAAAUGCAACAAGAAUUAACCUUUUUUCUCUUUCUGCUGAUCUUUACUUUCUCACACUAGAGCUAGCUAAUUCCCCUGGUAUUCUCAUCUCAGAUUCACCAUAUCACUGCGGCAAACAUGCAUUUAGAAGCAUGUACAUGUAGUGGUGGGAGACUGGGAGUGCGUUUGGAUUAGAAAGUUAAAAAAUUAACAAGUGCUGCUUCAGAAGUUGCACGUGACCUGCUUCUUCAGAGAUGAAUACAAAUAGUAAUAUGUUUGGUACAGUUAUCUUAGCAGUUUCUCUUAUCUUUACUACAAAGGCAAGUCUGCGGUCUUAAUGGAUCGAUAUCCCUCGCACUCUCGUGCAAAUCAGCCCACCCCUUGUCCCAUCCCCG